rnacentral:rRNA from 1 species
UACUUAGUGGCAGACGGGUGAGUAACAUGUAGGUAUCUGCCCUUUGGCCUGGAAUAACACGAGGAAACUUGUGCUAAUACCGGAUAAGUCUUUACGGAGAAAGCUUUAUGCACCAUUGGAUGAGCCUGCACUUGAUUAGUUUGUUGGUGGGGUAAUGGCCUACCAAGACUGUGAUCAAUAGCUGAUUUGAGAGGAUGAUCAGCCACAUUGGGACUGAGACACGGCCCAAACUCCUACGGGAGGCAGCAGUGGGGAAUCUUGCACAAUGGAGGAAACUCUGAUGCAGCGAUGCCGCGUGAGUGAAGAAGGCCCUUGGGUUGUAAAGCUCUUUCGUCGGGGAAGAAAAUGACUGUACCCGAAUAAGAAGGUCCGGCUAACUUCGUGCCAGCAGCCGCGGUAAUACGAAGGGACCUAGCGUAGUUCGGAAUUACUGGGCUUAAAGAGUUCGUAGGUUGUUGAAAAAGUUGGUGGUGAAAUCCCAGAGCUUAACUCUGGAACUGCCAU